AGGAAAGUGUUCCAGUUCAAUCAUAAAUGUGUUCAAUCGGGAGUAGAAGCCCACGGGGAACACAGUGUCAGAAAACAGUCGACACAACGGGUACAGUAAUGUGCUUAUUCAUUCAAGUUUUCAUCUUCAGCAC